AGAAUCAACGCUGGCGGCGUGCCUCAGACAUGCAAGUCGAACGAUUAAAGCUCCCUUCGGGGAUGCAUAAAGUGGCGCACGGGUGAGUAACACGUAAGUAAUCUACCCUCGGGUGGGGAAUAACGUUCGGAAACGAACGCUAAUACCGCAUAAUGCAGCGGCACCGCAAGGUGACAGUUGUUAAAGAUUUAUUGCCUGGGGAGAGCUUGCGGCAGAUUAGCUUGGUUGGUAAGGUACGGACUUACCAAGGCUACGAUCUGUAUCCGGUCUAAGAGGACGGUCGGACACACUGACACUGAAAUACGGGUACAGACUCCGUACGGGACGGCAGACAGGUCGGGUAAGUUUGGGACAAGGUACGGGGAAACCCUCGACCCAGACC
rnacentral:rRNA from 1 species